rnacentral:tRNA from 1 species
ACCAGAAUGGUCGAGUGGUUAAGGCGUUGGACUUAAGAUCCAAUGGAUUUAUAUCCUCGUGGGUUCGAACCCCACUUCUGGUA